AACGCUGGCGGCGUGCCUAACACAUGCAAGUCGAACGGAGAGUUUAUCGAGGAGACUUCGGUCAACGAGAUAAAGUUUCUUAGUGGCGGACGGGUGAGUAACGCGUGAGCAAUCUGCCUUUCAGAGGGGGAUAACAUUCUGAAAAGAAUGCUAAUACCGCAUAACGUAUUUGGACCGCAUGAUCUGAAUACCAAAGCUUUAUGUGCUGAAAGAUGGCCUCGCGUCUGAUUAGCUAGUUGGUGGGGUAACGGCCCACCAAGGCGACGAUCAGUAGCCGGUCUGAGAGGAUGAACGGCCACAUUGGGACUGAGACACGGCCCAGACUCCUACGGGAGGCAGCAGUGGGGAAUAUUGCACAAUGGGCGCAAGCCUGAUGCAGCAACGCCGCGUGAGGGAAGACGGUUUUCGGAUUGUAAACCUCUGUCUUUGGUGACGAAGAAGUGACGGUAGCCAAGGAGGAAGCCACGGCCAACUACGUG
rnacentral:rRNA from 1 species